CCUUGCUGAAGCUGUCCUGACCUCAAGGAAACAGCCAUCUCAAAGCCAGGCCCACCUGGCUGAGCUGAGCUCACGAUGCUCUUGUGUUUUAAACUUUCUUAAGCCCUUUGUACUUAAGACAAUCAAGCUUCUUUUAUAAACAGUGACUGUCUACGGUGUUUUAAGUCACCAUAGGAAUCCAUGACCCACUGGGGGAAAAUUCCCAAGUCCUGUGUGACAUAAGGCUUAAAGUAUCACAUAAGGGUUAGAGAAAACUAUACAACUGUUAAAAAAUAUUUUCAGAAACUAGUUGUAUUUUGCAAUUAUAGAAUACUUCAAAUCACAAGUAAACCAAGCUCCACUGAAAGUCUGACUCACUACCAAUUCCUCUUCUUACAUGUUUCUCAGUGUUCCCUGACCUGGUACAAGAUCCCAAUACUCCCCCAAAUUUAAUUUCUUCACAAAAUAGAGACUAUCCCAGUAGAACCCACUAGAAUUCACAUUGAGGAAGAUAAGAGAAGCAGAAUGACAAAUACAUAUAAAAAUGAAAAAAAAAGGGAUUAAAAUGAAAGAAAGAGUAUCAUAAUGGGACAGCCUCUUGAAAUAGGAAACUCCGUCCUGAAAACUCUGUCAUGACCUUGCUUGCAAGUAAGGAAAAUUAUGCUGUCUUUAGGAGUAAAAUACGAUGUAAACCCUUGCUCUUAAUAUAAGCAUUUAAUAUAUAAAUAGAAAGUAAAUAGACUAUGAAAAUGUUUCUCAGCUAAAAACCGGGAAGGAUGUCUAAUAGACAAAGGCUGAAGAACCAAAGUUCCUGAGGUCUGAUAAUCAUCUUUUUUAAAGAUGGCUGCCUGCCUGGAGAUGAGGCAGAGAAUCUAUCGCCUUAUUAACUUUUAGUUGACAGAUUAAGGUUGUAAAAUAAGAAUGGUUUUCAGAACUGUGGAUAAGCACCGACUGAAACUUUCUCUCCUUUGCCUCUUUUAUACAGAAAACACAAUACUCUGAGGCCUUGGAAUAUGUUUCUUUUUAAAUGGCCCCACCAACCAGAAAAUCAGAUAUGGCAAAGAGGCACUGGCUCCUGAAUAUCUGUGCAAAUAAGCAGAAAGAAAAACAGAACAAACAAAACAUCGCUUACUACUAAUAAUAGGACAGCAUUAUUUCCACACAAGACUGAUGAAACACUGCAGUUACAAACUACUUUGUGUUUGUGUGUCUUGACUUUGUUGUUUGCUUUGUUUUUUUAAUCACCAUCUCCAUUCCGGGGGCCAUUUUUAUCAUAUAUCUCCAAGAAAUAUAUGGGUAUAAGCAUACAUAGAAACAGCAGGCAUCAAUUUCUAAAAAC
rnacentral:lncRNA from 1 species